GGGGAGUGAAAUAGAACCUGAAACCGUGUACGUACAAGCAGUGGGAGCCUUGAUUUAUCAGGGUGACUGCGUACCUUUUGUAUAAUGGGUCAGCGACUUAUAUUCUGUAGCAAGGUUAACCGUAUAGGGGAGCCGUAGGGAAACCGAGUCUUAACUGGGCGAAUGAGUUGCAGGGUAUAGACCCGAAACCCGGUGAUCUAGCCAUGGGCAGGUUGAAGGUUGGGUAACACUAACUGGAGGACCGAACCGACUAAUGUUGAAAAAUUAGCGGAUGACUUGUGGCUGGGGGUGAAAGGCCAAUCAAACCGGGAGAUAGCUGGUUCUCCCCGAAAGCUAUUUAGGUAGCGCCUCGUGAACUCAUCUUCGGGGGUAGAGCACUGUUUCGACUAGGGGGUCAUCCCGACUUACCAACUCGAUGCAAACUACGAAUACCGAAGAAUGUUAUCACGGGAGACACACGGCGGGUGCUAACGUU
rnacentral:rRNA from 1 species